rnacentral:lncRNA from 1 species
AUGCCACACUUUGCACGGAGUCCGGAACCGCCCGACUCGUUAGUUCAUUCGGGAGAGGCAGAAAGGUCCCAGGCGGGCAUCGGAAAUGGGGGGGGGCGCAUUGGAUUUGGGACCUGCCCGGCUCUUUCUGUGAGAUUCAAGCUCUCCCGCUGCCGCCCUCCGGGCUGCUCAGGCGGCACCAUCCCCAGGAUGGCCAGAUCUCCCCUUGGAGUAACUCAAAAGUUUCCAAUUGAAAAAAUGAACUGGAAAUUGGCCCUGCCCCCGCCUAAGCCCCCGGGCCCAAGUCAGGGCAGAGUCGGUGCCCCGUGGGAGGCCUCCAGUGCCCAACAAGGGGUGCGGGGUGGAGGUGGGGGGAGCGGGGAUUCUCGCGACUAUCUGUCGGCCGGUUCGGCAGAGGUCUCGUACAAGUGGGUCUGCUUACGUGUCUGCCCCCCCCCCUUCUCUUUUUGUUCUUGGCCUCCCGGUCCUCCCUCCCUCCUUCCCUCCCUCCCUUCCUCUCUGGCCCUCCUCCCUCUACCCUCCUCCCUCCUCCCUGUAUCUCCAGCUGGUGUGCCUGACUGCUGCGUCCUCCUCCCAUCCAUCGCAGCCCUCAUGAUAACCUGCUCAGUCAGCUGGAGCCCCCUGCGGACAGCUGGCUCACUCCCGCUCGGGCUCUGCUCUCAGCUGAGUGGAGGCUGCUGCCGGGGAGCGCUGGCUGGAAGCGGGGGCGCAGCGGCAGAGGGAAGGACGGAGGCAGCAGCGGCGGCGGCGGCCAGAGGCGCACGGAGAACGGCAGCCCGGGCGUCUGCCCCGGCCCCAGCCUGCUGCCCGAGGAGGACUCUAUUGUUCCGACUCCUUUGCUCGCUCGCUCAUCGCCCUUUCUCCUCUCUCCUUCGAAAGGGAACAAUAGCGGAGCAGAGAAGAACCAGCGCUUGGACUCAGCGCGCUCCCUCGGGCUGGGCACUCCGGACCCCUUCCUUCCCUCUGCUCCACCUUUGGCGGCUCCCACCCUCCAAGGCCUCAGACCCUGACCCCAAGUCAGAGCGGCGGGAGCCAUGGGGCAUCCCGGAGGGAGGGUAG